CUCUCUCUCUUUCUCUUAAUUACAUGAAUUUCUUAUUUCUUUUUCUAAUUAAUUAAUUGUUCUUUCCUGUUUUUAGAAUUUCGUGUGAUCAUUAAUUAAAACAGUUCUCUUUCUUCCCUUUGAUUGGAAAAGAUUUACUUCCAAUCUAAAGAGAACAUUUUCUCUCUAGAAAAUGGAAGAAAAAAAGAAAAACUCUCAUGGCUCAUCUUCCUCAAUUUCUUUUCCCUCUCUCUCUCUCUUUUUCUCUCUUUGUGAACUUGACAUUGUCAAGUGAUUUUUACUGUUAUUUUUAUGGUUAUCUGGUUUUUAAUUUGGUUCCUUGUCUUCCCUGUUUCUUAUUUUACAUUUAGAUCUUCUUCUCCUUCCGAGUAAUAAUCUUUGGCAUUCACUUUCCCCCUUCUUCGUCUUUGGUUACUAAGCGUAUUUAGAAUUUGGUUAUAGACUCUCUCUCUCUCUCUGGUUUUCUAUUACACCUUGGAUCAUUUUCUUCACAUUUCCACUUAUCUUUUGGACUUGAAAGACUCUGGAAACUGUUAUAAUGUCUCAUGGAACGAGAUAUUUGGUCUGGUUAAGAUGAAAUGAAUCUCAUUGACUUGAAUAAUCUCUCAUGUCAUUCUCUCUCUCUCUCUCUCUUUCUCUUUUUCUCUCUGAUACCCAGGCUCUUGUUUCCAUAUUUUUCCAUUGGCAAACAUAAAUUUCUGGUUCUCUUUUUGGCUUUCAAUUGGUUCUUUCAUUUUCUUUCUUCAAGUAAUUGUUUUUCCUCGUCCAGGGAAACAUAUUGUUGAAAUUGAAGAGAAAAAUUGUAAUACUUCUGGUUCCAAGUUCUUUUCUUUCUCUCUCUCUCUCUCUCUUGCUCCAAAUCUUGAGAUUGAAAUGGAAUCAUUUCAGUAGAUAUACACACUUUUCUUCAAUAACCCAGAGCAACGAUUCAGUUUCAAUUCUUGCCCACCUUAUAUUCUGCUCUUUUUAAAGGCAACAAACAGACCAGAGGGCUUCUCACAGCAGGACCAAAGCUUCACCAAAAUUGAUCUGCCAUCAAGACAGACUUCUUAAUACCUGAGGCGAGAAAAAAAACCUAAACUCUCUCUCUCUCUCUCUCUCUCUCUCUCUCUCUCUCUCUCUCUCUCUCUCUCUCUCUCUCUCUCUCUCUCCGUUUGGAACAUCCCUACGAAAAGAGCUCUCCUGAAGACCGGUCCUUGAGGGUGAUAAAAAGUCUCCAACCGAGGAUGAGAGUGUUUCUAUCAUUAUACUUAUCAUUUGCUACUCUUUUACAUUGGUGGAGAAUCUUUAUAAACAAGAGAAAAAGAAAUGAUAGUUUUUAAAUACUCACCUUAGGAAAAGAUAUCAACGGAGGCUGAAGAAGGAGAUGAUGAUAAUUAUGAUAAUGGGAUAGAAAGAGAGGAAACUGAGAAAGAUCAAUUGACAGAUUAGAAGACACCUUGGUCACCUCAAGAAGAUUCUCUCUUGCUCUCUCAUCUUCUCAUCUUUAUGUUUUCCUCUUUUUCAAGCUACCUGUCAAUUCAAUCAAUAUAUUUUUCUCAUCAAAAGCCCUAAUGAUUCUGUCAAUCAAAAAGACCUUUGCAAGUCUUCACUGAGCAAUUGGAAAACAUCAUCAACAUUAAUAAAAAGAAUUGAUUAGUUUGGAGAAAAAGGUAAACCUUGAACCUUUUCUCUUAUUCUUCAUCUUCUUCUAUGUAAAAUGAACUCAUUUUCUUAGAAGAUAAAUCAAUUCGUUGUGGAAGUUUGUUGAUGAAUUUCAAUGGAAGAGAAAAAAGGUUAAAGUAAAUAAGUAAAAGAAGAAGAGAAACAAAAAAGGAAAUGAUCAAUAGGAAGAUGAUGAUAGAAAGAGAAACCAAAGAAAUGAGGCCAAUAAUUAGACCAAGUCCACAGUUUACCGUAACGGGGUAACGUUAGUGUGAGUAUUGAUGAUGAUUAUCAUUAGCAGCUCACUCAGUUAAUUUUCAGCUUUGCUUAUUCACGAUUUCUGCAUUUUCCAAUCAAAAUGAUGAAAAUUUACAAGGAAAACGUCACCGUCACCCAACUGUGAAAUGAAGGAAAAAUGAAGAAGAUGAAAAUCAUCAUCACCAUCAAGCAAUAAAGAAGGAGGAGAAAUCAAGCUAAUAAUAUGAGACCUAAAGUGAUAUGUAUUUAUAUUUAAUAACGAUUAAGGUAACUGGUUACUUUUUAUAAAUAAUGUUUACCUUAUUAACCUAAGGUAAAAAGCUCACUUAUCAUAUUGAAUGAGAAUUGAGCCAAAAAGGUAAAUCACAUUCACGGACCCAUCAGAAUAUUAAAUAAGCACUUCACUCAAACGUCAACUCACAGGAUAAAAUUAAACGUCAAAAUUUUGCUCAUUUUGUUGAUCAUCAUCAUCAUCAUCAUAAUCCCAAGAUAAAUAGUGAUAAGAUGAUUUAUAAUAAUGGAAUAACUUUUUUUUUCUUAUUCCUCUUAAAUCAGUUAUUAUUAAUUAUCGGUAAAAAAAGAGGAUGAGGAUGGAGAUAAACUGAUAAAUAAGAUGAUGAAGAAAGAGACACAUGAAGUUACCUGGAUUUUGCGGAAUAAUCAUCUUGGAAUCAUUAAAUAUUAAUACAUCGCUAUCGUCAUCAUCGUUUUUUUUAUUGGUAUAUCGAGGAAAAAGUAGUUUAGAAAAUGGAGUCACGGAAAUAAUCAUCAACCAUCAUCAUCAUUAUCAUCAGAAAAUGAUACUUGAUGAUCAGUUAGAUUUUUUCGUUCACAUGACAUACUAGAGAGAGAAAGAAAGAAAGAAAGAGAGAGAGAGAGGGUUAUCCUUGAAAAACACUUAAGAAUGAGAAAAAAAUCGGAAAAAGUAGUUCGAUAUUUAGUUCAUGUUCUAAUCCGUAAACAUGAUGUUAUUCAGUAGCAAAGUCUGAGAAGAUGAACUGUUCACGAUAAUGAAAUGAAGUAAAAAAAACAUGAAAAUGAUGAUAAAGAGAUGGUAAAGGAUAUCAGAGUAACAGGAUAUUCACAUUUACAACAUUCACUCGUGGAAUCAGUUUAACAUGAUCAUUACGAAUGGACAAUCAUCAUGACCGAGAAGAAGCAAAAGUUGCAAAUGAAAUAAAACAGAAAGUUCAUCUCACAGGAAGAGACGAAAAAGAAGAAGAUGAAGACGAACCAAGAAAAGUAGAGAAAACCUAAGAAAGAUACAAGGAAGAAGCAGAACAACAUAAACAAGAGAAGAGAGAAAAGAGAAAAAGAUGAGGAUGAGAGAGAGAGAGAGAGAGAGAGAGAGCAAAAAAAGGCAGAGAAGAAGAAGGAAGUUUGUUCUCUAUUCUCAUGCUGAACACAUAUUACUUGUGACAAUACCUUUUCCCACUCCCACUUUCCACCCUCGAUUUUUUUUCUUAUUCAUUGUAAAUAUUUACUCACAGAUUCUUGGGUUUUUAGGUUGCUGGAAAAACAUACAUUUCUCUCAGUGUUUCCAUGGACAACAGUAAAUAUCUGACUGUUUGUAUUAAUAUCAUUCAGUUUCUAUUGAGAUGAUUGCAGAAAAUUUAACAAUAAGUAACCAUUUACAGAAAGAGAGUAAACCAAGAAGAUGAAGAUAAUAUUGCAAAUGUCACUUUCUUUCUGACUCAAAGAUGAUUUCAUCUUAUUCCUGAUGACAUAACAUAUAUUACAUUCCCUGUUUAUCCUCAUCACCAACAACAACAACAAUGACAUUAUCUUAUAUCACCAAUGUGACACAUAAAAAUUUACUACUUUAUGUAUACACACACACACAUAUGAUGAUCAUUAUUAUGUAUAACUUUGAGUGAAACAAUUUCAUCUUAAUCAUCAUUUCAUCUUGCUCAUUUAUCCCUCAUCUUUUAUCACUCAGCUCAAUCUUCAUCAUCAUCAUCAUCAUCGCCAUCCUAAUGUCUAUAUAUGUGAAUAUAUGUUUGUUAAUUUACAGAAAAAGGUGAAACUUUAAAGGAACAACAAACUUGAGCUAAAUAAUGAUCACAACUAAACUUAAUUAACAAGGUUAACUAACAUGAUCAGGAUCAUUAAUUGAUAACAUUCAAAAUAGACCUUAAUUAAAGGUGAAUUGAAAAAAAACCUUCUCAAAGCAAGAAAAUUAAUGUUACCAAAACAAAAGCGCUUAUAUUUUAUCAACAUUAAAUUAACUUUUAAUAGUAAUUGUAAUCAAGAUAAUAUAUCAAAAACAAUAUCAUCAUCAUCAUCAUCGUGAAUUAUAUUCAGGUAACAACAAUUUAGUUCAACUUUCAUUAGUUGAUUGUUAAGUUAAUGGUUGAUUAUAAAUGUUGAUAAGGAACCGAAAAUAAUAAUAUUAAGUUAACUAUCCAAGGUUAACUAAAUCACACUUUCCAUUGAGUGGAAGCCACAGCAAUUUAAUAAUAAUCAACACUGAUCAUUAAUAUUUAGAUUAACAAAAUUUUAAUCACUUUUCGCAAUUACAAUUAACUUUUCUUGUUACCUUGUUGUUGUUGUUAUUAUUAUUAUUGUUUGAUUGUAAUCAAUUGUAAGAUCAAUAACUUAUUAAUAAAAGA